AGCAGCCGCGGUAAUUCCAGCUCCAAUAGCGUAUAUUAAAGUUGUUGCAGUUAAAAAGCUCGUAGUUGAAUUUCGGGAUUGACGUGAUGGUCAUGCCUUAAGGGGUAUGAACUGUCACAGUUGAUUUCUCACCUUCUGGAGAAACUUGAUGUCCUUUAUUGGGUGUCUUGCGGAUCCAGGACCUUUACCUUGAAAAAAUUAGAGUGUUUAAAGCAGGCAUUUUUGCUCGAAUACAUUAGCAUGGAAUAAUAGAAUAGGACGGCAUGGUUCUAUUUUGUUGGUUUCUAGGAUCACCGUAAUGAUUAAUAGGGAUAGUUGGGGGCAUUAGUAUUCAAUUGUCAGAGGUGAAAUUCUUGGAUUUAUUGAAGACUAACUACUGCGAAAGCAUUUGCCAAGGAUGUUUUCAUUAAUCAAGAACGAAAGUUAGGGGAUCGAAGACGAUCAGAUACCGUCGUAGUCUUAACCAUAAACUAUGCCGACUAGGAAUCAGACGAUGUUAAUUUUUUAAUGACUCGUUUGGCACCUUACG
rnacentral:rRNA from 1 species